UUGAUCAGAGGCUUUCAGCUACAAUUUCACCUUGUCAUGUCACGAUGGAGCUUCCUGGAGCCUACUUUACUUGCAGUUAGUCCUACUGUUACAUUGGAAACGGCAACUGCUACCUUUUCAGAGCAAUUGCAAAUUGAGAAAGUGACCGUAGAGCAAAAAAGCAACUUCAAAUGUUAUUAGAAGAACAAAGAAGAUUUGGCCUCAAUAUUGAUCUGGAUGCUCCAAAAGUAAGAGUUCCUAUCAGAACCAAUAAGGACUUUUCCAAAUCUGAUAGCCAUUUUCUGUUGGAUUUUGGUCAUUUCACGCUGCAAGAGAAGCAUGAUGAACAGAAGAAGAACCUGUUGCCCACCGAUCGGUAUUGUGUUUGUCAUGAGAAAGGAUGUGAACUACGUACUGAUUGCUAAAUCUGCAUGCCCUCUCAUGGAAAACUCCUUAUGUUAAAUCUGAUGGACCUUGAAGGUUCAACAUAACAACCUUGAAGUCACAGACGAAGGUAGAUGCCUGUUGGUUUCAACUUCUUUUGAGAGGAAACAACUCCAAGUUUUCGAAGAGAUUUGGUAAAUCAAAAUGUAAUUGAUAGAAGUUGCUAACUUGCUAUGUUAGUCUUGUCCUGGUAGGAGUUUGGCAGAACAUUUGUUAGUAGCUACCAUUCCCAUUUGUCCCACAGUCCUCACUGGGAGAUUUUAUUGCAUUUGAAGUUCCGCUGAAAAAAUGGCGAGAAGCAUGCUAUAUCAGGGGUAUUGCAACAGUGGUAAAUGAGAAUCAUGUUAAAUUGAAAAUUUCAGUAUGUGGUGCUUCUGUUGUUCAAGGUAACGAUUCUUCUGGAACAAAUGAAAAUAUAAAUACGCCUAGGAGUGACAUCUCUGCUAAAAAUCCCAGAGGUUAUUGUACGUGUUCUACCUUGGAGAAGUAAAUCAAGUCAUUCGGGCCGCUGCUUACAAAUUUAUCCUUGAUUAUCCUUGGCAGUGGGUUCUGGAAAUGCAUAUAAAAUGGACUCGACUUUUGUGGAGUUCAAAGCAAGAAAAUAAGAUGCAUAAUGAUGGAUCAUAAUGAUCAUCCUUUCUUAAAAUCAGCAGCAUAGUAAUCAAGGAGUCUGUAUACAGACAGACAGAUGAUUUGGUGCAUCUGUCUCCAAGUAGACAGGUUAAAACUUGGAAUGCUUCGGAUACAAUCAGAUAAGCCGUUAACAUUAACACCAAUGCCGCCAGUUCUCCUUCGACCACAUAGAGUUGGAGAGGAGAUGGACUAUAUCUUGAAGUUUUCCG